AGCGUACACGGUGGAUGCCCUGGCAGUCAGAGGCGAUGAAGGACGUGCUAAUCUGCGAAAAGCGCCGGCGAGGUGAUAUGAACCUUUGACCCGGCGAUGUCCGAAUGGGGAAACCCAGUGCAAUUCGUUGCACUAUCGUUAACUGAAUACAUAGGUUAACGAGGCGAACCGGGGGAACUGAAACAUCUAAGUACCCCGAGGAAAAGAAAUCAACCGAGAUUCCCCCAGUAGCGGCGAGCGAACGGGGAGGAGCCCAGAGUCUGAAUCAGUUUGUGUGUUAGUGGAAGCGUCUGGAAAGUCGCACGAUACAGGGUGAAAGUCCCGUACACGAAAGCACACAGGCUGUGAACUCGAAGAGUAGGGCGGGACACGUGGUAUCCUGUCUGAAUAUGGGGGGACCAUCCUCCAAGGCUAAAUACUCCUGACUGACCGAUAGUGAACCAGUACCGUGAGGGAAAGGCGAAAAGAACCCCGGCGAGGGGAGUGAAAAAGAACCUGAAACCGUGUACGUACAAGCAGUGGGAGCAUCCUUCGGGGUGUGACUGCGUACCUUUUGUAUAAUGGGUCAGCGACUUAUAUUCUGUAGCAAGGUUAACCGAAUAGGGGAGCCGAAGGGAAACCGAGUCUUAACUGGGCGUUAAGUUGCAGGGUAUAGACCCGAAACCCGGUGAUCUAGCCAUGGGCAGGUUGAAGGUUGGGUAACACUAACUGGAGGACCGAACCGACUAAUGUUGAAAAAUUAGCGGAUGACCUGUGGCUGGGGGUGAAAGGCCAAUCAAACCGGGAGAUAGCUGGUUCUCCCCGAAAGCUAUUUAGGUAGCGCCUCGUGAACUCAUCUUCGGGGGUAGAGCACUGUUUCGGCUAGGGGGUCAUCCCGACUUACCAACCCGAUGCAAACUGCGAAUACCGAAGAAUGUUAUCACGGGAGACACACGGCGGGUGCUAACGUCCGUCGUGAAGAGGGAAACAACCCAGACCGCCAGCUAAGGUCCCAAAGUCAUGGUUAAGUGGGAAACGAUGUGGGAAGGCCCAGACAGCCAGGAUGUUGGCUUAGAAGCAGCCAUCAUUUAAAGAAAGCGUAAUAGCUCACUGGUCGAGUCGGCCUGCGCGGAAGAUGUAACGGGGCUAAACCAUGCACCGAAGCUGCGGCAGCGGCGCUUAGGCGUUGUUGGGUAGGGGAGCGUUCUGUAAGCCGUCGAAGGUGGCCUGUGAGGGCUGCUGGAGGUAUCAGAAGUGCGAAUGCUGACAUAAGUAACGAUAAAGCGGGUGAAAAGCCCGCUCGCCGGAAGACCAAGGGUUCCUGUCCAACGUUAAUCGGGGCAGGGUGAGUCGACCCCUAAGGCGAGGCCGAAAGGCGUAGUCGAUGGGAAACAGGUUAAUAUUCCUGUACUUGGUGUUACUGCGAAGGGGGGACGGAGAAGGCUAUGUUAGCCGGGCGACGGUUGUCCCGGUUUAAGCAUGUAGGCGGAGGUUCCAGGUAAAUCCGGUACCUUUUAACGCUGAGGUGUGAUGACGAGGCACUACGGUGCUGAAGUAACAAAUGCCCUGCUUCCAGGAAAAGCCUCUAAGCAUCAGGUAACACGAAAUCGUACCCCAAACCGACACAGGUGGUCAGGUAGAGAAUACCAAGGCGCUUGAGAGAACUCGGGUGAAGGAACUAGGCAAAAUGGUGCCGUAACUUCGGGAGAAGGCACGCUGACAUGUAGGUGAAGCCCCUGCGGGUGGAGCUGAAGUCAGUCGAAGAUACCAGCUGGCUGCAACUGUUUAUUAAAAACACAGCACUGUGCAAACACGAAAGUGGACGUAUACGGUGUGACGCCUGCCCGGUGCCGGAAGGUUAAUUGAUGGGGUUAUCCGUAAGGAGAAGCUCUUGAUCGAAGCCCCGGUAAACGGCGGCCGUAACUAUAACGGUCCUAAGGUAGCGAAAUUCCUUGUCGGGUAAGUUCCGACCUGCACGAAUGGCGUAAUGAUGGCCAGGCUGUCUCCACCCGAGACUCAGUGAAAUUGAACUCGCUGUGAAGAUGCAGUGUACCCGCGGCAAGACGGAAAGACCCCGUGAACCUUUACUAUAGCUUGACACUGAACAUUGAGCCUUGAUGUGUAGGAUAGGUGGGAGGCUUUGAAGCGUGGACGCCAGUCUGCGUGGAGCCAACCUUGAAAUACCACCCUUUAAUGUUUGAUGUUCUAACCUGGUACCGUAAUCCGGUAUGGGGACAGUGUCUGGUGGGUAGUUUGACUGGGGCGGUCUCCUCCUAAAGAGUAACGGAGGAGCACGAAGGUUGGCUAAUCCUGGUCGGACAUCAGGAGGUUAGUGCAAUGGCAUAAGCCAGCUUGACUGCGAGCGUGACGGCGCGAGCAGGUGCGAAAGCAGGUCAUAGUGAUCCGGUGGUUCUGAAUGGAAGGGCCAUCGCUCAACGGAUAAAAGGUACUCCGGGGAUAACAGGCUGAUACCGCCCAAGAGUUCAUAUCGACGGCGGUGUUUGGCACCUCGAUGUCGGCUCAUCACAUCCUGGGGCUGAAGUAGGUCCCAAGGGUAUGGCUGUUCGCCAUUUAAAGUGGUACGCGAGCUGGGUUUAGAACGUCGUGAGACAGUUCGGUCCCUAUCUGCCGUGGGCGCUGGAGAAUUGAGGGGGGCUGCUCCUAGUACGAGAGGACCGGAGUGGACGCAUCACUGGUGUUCGGGUUGUCAUGCCAAUGGCAUUGCCCGGUAGCUACAUGCGGAAGAGAUAAGUGCUGAAAGCAUCUAAGCACGAAACUUGCCCCGAGAUGAGUUCUCCCUGAGACCCAGAGUCUCCUGAAGGAACGUUGAAGACGACGACGUUGAUAGGCCGGGUGUGUAAGCGCAGCGAUGCGUUGAGCUAACCGGUACUAAUGAACCGUGAGGCUUAACC
rnacentral:rRNA from 1 species